CAAACUAUAGCUUAUAUAAAGCUUUUUAGUUACAUUAAUAAGAAAACAUUGAUUUUUGUUUAGUUUGA
rnacentral:tRNA from 1 species